rnacentral:rRNA from 1 species
CCCUUAGAUGUUCUGGGCCGCACGCGCGCUACACUGAUGCAUUCAACGAGUCUAAAACCUGGUCUGAUAGGGCUGGGUAAUCUUUUGAAAGUGCAUCGUGAUUGGGAUAGAUGAUUGCAAUUCUUCAUCUUCAACGAGGAAUGCCUAGUAAACGCAAGUCAUCAGCUUGCAUUGAUUACGUCCCUGCCCUUUGUACACACCGCCCGUCGCUCCUACCGAUUGAAUGAUCCGAUGAAUACCAUGGAUUGAGAGUACGAAUGGGUUCGCUCAUUUCUGCUGCUCGAGAAGUGGCGUAAAUCUUAUCAUUUAGAGGAAGGAGAAGUCGUAACA